rnacentral:rRNA from 1 species
GACGAACGCUGGCGGCGUGCUUAACACAUGCAAGUCGAACGGAAAGGCCCUGCUUUUGUGGGGUGCUCGAGUGGCGAACGGGUGAGUAACACGUGAGUAACCUGCCCUUGACUUUGGGAUAACUUCAGGAAACUGGGGCUAAUACCGGAUAGGAGCUCCUGCUGCAUGGUGGGGGUUGGAAAGUUUCGGCGGUUGGGGAUGGACUCGCGGCUUAUCAGCUUGUUGGUGGGGUAGUGGCUUACCAAGGCUUUGACGGGUAGCCGGCCUGAGAGGGUGACCGGCGACAAUGGGACUGAGAUACGGCCCAGACUCCUACGGGAGGCAGCAGUGGGGAAUAUUGCACAAUGGGCGGAAGCCUGAUGCAGAAACGCCGCGUGCGGGAUGACGGCCUUCGGGUUGUAAACCGCUUUCGCCUGUGACGAAGCGUGAGUGACGGUAAUGGGUAAAGAAGCAACGGCUAACUACGUG